AUUGAACGCUGGCGGCAGGCCUAACACAUGCAAGUCGAACGAGUGGCGGACGGGUGAGUAAUGUCUGGGAAACUGCCUGAUGGAGGGGGAUAACUACUGGAAACGGUAGCUAAUACCGCAUACCAUCAGAUGUGCCCAGAUGGGAUUAGCUAGUUGGUGGGGUAACGGCUCACCAAGGCGACGAUCCCUAGCUGGUAUGAGAGGAUGACCAGCCGCACUGGAACAGAGACACGGUCCAGAGUCCUACGCUGGGAAGUGUUGGGGAAGAUUGCACAAUGGGGGCAAGCCUGAUACAGCCAUGCCGCGUGUAUGAAGAAGGCCUUCGGGUUGUAAAGUACUGUCAGCGGGGAGGCGUUACCCGCAGAAGAAGCACCGGCUAACUCCGUGCCAGCCGCCGCGGUAAUAC
rnacentral:rRNA from 1 species